rnacentral:lncRNA from 1 species
AGCCCUGCUGCAGACCCAGUCCUUCAGGGAACCUGUACAAUUUACCUGGCACCUACACUUCUCAGCUUCUCACACAAGUUUGGCCACCUCUGUGGGCUCUGAGUGAUGGUCAGUGGCUCACCUGUCACUUGGCUUCCUGCUACCAGCUUUGAAGUGGCUGCUGAGCUGAAAGCCCCACUGAGCAGUCAGAUCCUACCAGCCCUGUGCCAAACGGGCUCCUGUUUUUCUGAAGCACGCAACAGCUGGAAUGAACUUGGAAAGGAUGUUUGGCUUCCAAAGCCUGGGAUGCCUUGCCUCUGCUACUGUACGGUGGAAGCACCUGCAUUUUGGAUUAUGGCCUUUCUUCAGCUUCCUUUGGAAAAGGAGUUAAGAAAUCUGACAAAAAUCCUUCAUUUUUAAAAACUUGUUUCCACGUGGACACUUCUGAAAACUGGUGAGAAAACUGGAGCAGAAAGAAGGGAGAAAAAACCUCUUGACCACUGUUUUACUACUUCCUGCCUGAAAAAAAUGUAGAAAGUAUUUGGAAAAUGUGAAAAUGCUAUGUUUAUCUCAGUAUUUCUCACAGUAGACAUUUUUUCCUGUCCAUAAAGAUUAAUAGGAAGAUGCUUUCUUAGAGUUUUGAUAAGAGAUACUUAUAUUUUAACCAUACCUGCUUUGUUAUGAAUAAUUUCCUGUGUGGUUUCAGGAUUUUCAGGUGUCAAAAUUUUGAAAGGACACUCAUGCGAGCCUCCUUAGAAAUUGUGUUGUGCUUCAACAAGCUCUUGUAACGAGUCUGAGUCUGCAUUACCCACAGAAGUCAGAUGUGUCUGGAUCUGGAUUUCAAACAUUCCAGAAUCAAAGUCAGUCUUAGGCCUUUUGGUUCGGCUCUAGCACUGGUAUUUAGAUCCCUUGGUUAGGACUUCAACACCCGCUGUUUCAGGCUAUUCAAUUUGUGUUUUCCUCUUUUUGUGCUGAGUACAUCUUGGAGUGUUGUGUAAGUUACUUUGAAAAAUAUGCAUUGACUUCUAAGGAUUUUGAACUUGGCCUUUAACUAAAUCAUUCUCAGAUGUUUCUCUUAACUAAUGUUUUCAUUAAAGUUUUCUUUUCUACCAUUUCUCAUGUAUAUGUAAGUAUGUGUGUUCCUUAAUGGCAUAAUAGUGCAUUUUCUCUUUUUUGCCUUUUCACUUAUGACAAAAUGGUUGUAGAGGAUGUUGUACACUGUUCUAAAACAAUUCCAGCUUCUUUAUUGACUUUUUUUUUCCAGCUUUUGCCAACUUUUUCAUAUUUGUUUUAACAAUAGCAGGACAGGGCCUUUCAGACUAUGAGGGAAUUGGUAAUCCGAUCACAUACUUUAUGUCUUUGAAAAGAAGAAAAUACAAAGACAAAGACAGAAUGUGAUAGAAUUUUAUUUAAUGCAUUG